AACGUAGGGGGCGAGCGUUGUCCGGAAUUACUGGGCGUAAAGAGCUCGUAGGCGGUAGUUCAAGUCAGGUGUGAAAUCCGACGGCUUAACCGGAGGACUGCACCUGAUACUGGGCUGCUAGAGGUAAGGAGAGGUAAGUGGAAUUCCUAGUGUAGAGGUGAAAUUCGUAGAUAUUAGGAGGAACACCGGUGGCGAAGGCGACUUACUGGACUGUAACUGACGCUGAGGCACGAAAGCGUGGGUAGCGAACAGG
rnacentral:rRNA from 1 species